rnacentral:rRNA from 1 species
UACGUAGGGUGCAAGCGUUGUUCGGAAUCAUUGGGCGUAAAGCGCGUGUAGGUGGCUAGUUAAGUCGAUUGUGAAAGCCCUGAGCUCAACUCAGGAAGUGCAGUCGAAACUGGCUGGCUAGAAGAUAGUAGAGGAAGGUGGAAUUCCAAGUGUAGAGGUGAAAUUCGUAGAUAUUUGGAGGAAUACCGGCGGCGAAGGCGGCCUUCUGGGGCUAUUCUUGACACUGAGACGCGAAAGCGUGGGGAGCAAACAGGAUUAGAUACCCCUGUAGU